UGGGGAAUUUUGGACAAUGGGGGAAACCCUGAUCCAGCCAUCCCGCGUGUGCGAUGAAGGCCUUCGGGCUGUAAAGCACUUUUGGCAGGAAAGAAACGUCAUGGGUUAAUACCCCGUGAAACUGACGGUACCUGCAGAAUAAGCACCGGCUAACUACGUGCCAGCAGCCGCGGUAAUACGUAGGGUGCAAGCGUUAAUCGGAAUUACUGGGCGUAAAGCGUGCGCAGGCGGUUCGGAAAGAAAGAUGUGAAAUCCCAGAGCUCAACUUUGGAACUGCAUUUUUAACUACCGGGCGAAAGUGGGUCAGAGGGAGGUGGAAUUCCGCGUGUAGCAGUGAAGUGCGUAAAUAGACGGAGGAACACCGAUGACGAAGGCGGCCUCCUGGAUAACACUGACGAUCAUGCACGAAAGCGUGGGGAGCAAACAGG
rnacentral:rRNA from 1 species